rnacentral:rRNA from 1 species
GAUGAACGCUAGCGGAGGCUUAACACAUGCAAGGUCGAGGGGCAUCGACGAGGUAGCAAUACUUUGGUGGCGACCGGCGGCACGGGUGAGUAACACGUAUGCAACCUACCCUGUACAGGGGGAUAAACCCGGAGAAAUUCGGACUAAUAUUCCAUAAUGAUAUUUUAGGGCAUCCUUUAAUAUUUAAAGCUUUGGCGGUACAGGAUGGGCAUGCGCAACAUUAGCUAGUUGGGAGGGUAACGGCCUACCAAGGCUAUGAUGUUUAGGGGACCUGAGAGGGUGAUCCCCCACACUGGUACUGAGACACGGACCAGACUCCUACGGGAGGCAGCAGUGAGGAAUAUUGGUCAAUGGGCGGAAGCCUGAACCAGCCAUCCCGCGUGCAAGAAGACAGCCCUAUGGGUUGUAAACUGCUUUUCCAGUGGGCGAACCCCUCGUACGUGUACGGGAUUGACGGUACACUGGGAAUAAGCAUCGGCUAACUCCGUG